rnacentral:lncRNA from 1 species
AAUUUUUCACAAUCUUUUUUAUUAAUGCCGAAAUAUAUACCUAGCACUUUAACAGGUUUGUCCGUGAAAUUAAUUUCAUCUACUUUAUCUCUACAAUGCUUUAGUUUACCAAUCCAAAUUCCUUCCGUUUUAUUUUUGUUAAGUUGUAAUCCAGAAAAAGUUCCAAAAAUUUCGAUUAUAUUUAAUGCUGUUCGGAUUUCUUCUUUGGAUUUUAGGAAUAGAGUUGUAUCAUCAGCCACUUGCGUGAUUUUUAAGCA